rnacentral:rRNA from 1 species
UACGUAGGGUGCGAGCGUGGUCCGGAAUUACUGGGCGUAAAGAGCUCGUAGGUGGUUUGUCGCGUUGUUCGUGAAAACCGGGGGCUUAACCCUCGGCGUGCGGGCGAUACGGGCAGACUUGAGUACUGCAGGGGAGACUGGAAUUCCUGGUGUAGCGGUGGAAUGCGCAGAUAUCAGGAGGAACACCGGUGGCGAAGGCGGGUCUCUGGGCAGUAACUGACGCUGAGGAGCGAAAGCGUGGGGAGCGAACAGG